UAUUAGAGGCAUUGCCUGCCCAGUGACUAAAGUUUAACGGCCGCGGUAUCCUGACCGUGCAAAGGUAGCAUAAUCACUUGUUCCUUAAUUAGGGACUAGCAUGAAUGGCCAAACGAGGGUUCAACUGUCUCUCAUUCUCAAUCAGUGAAAUUGACCUUCCAGUGAAGAGGCUGGAAUACCAAAAUAAGACGAGAAGACCCUAUGGAGCUUUAAUUAAUCAGCUUACUUUAUAACCCUAACAAACCUAAUGGAUCAAGAAACAAAAUAUAAGCUGAAAAUUUCGGUUGGGGUGACCUCGGAGAACAUAAAAUCCUCCGAAUGAUUGUAACAUAGACUAACAAGUCAAAGUAAUACAAAAAUCUUAUUGACCCAAAAAUUCUUUGAUCAACGGACCAAGUUACCCUAGGGAUAACAGCGCAAUCCUAUUUAAGAGUCCAUAUCGAAAAUUAGGGUUUACGACCUCGAUGUUGGAUCAGGACAUCCCAAUGGUGCAGAAGCUAUUAAUGGUUCGUUUGUUCAACGAUUAAAGUCCUACGUGAUCUGAGU
rnacentral:rRNA from 1 species